ensembl:snRNA U6 U6 spliceosomal RNA
GUACUUGCUUAGGUAGCACAUAUACUAAAAUUGGAGUGCUACAGAGAAUGUUAUCAUGGCCCCUGCACAAGGAUGACACACAAAUUUGUGGGGCAUUCCAUAUUUUC